UAAAAGCAGGCUGCCAGGCUGCUUUGGCAACCUGCUCAGGUCUCUUGGAAGCUGUGUUGUUUUGCUGUUUGUGGUAAGUCUUGCUGCUGUCUGCUCUUUGGGUCCAUACUGCCUUUAUGAGUUGUAACACCACAAAGGUUUGCAGCUUCACUUCUGAAGCCAGGGAGAGCUGGAACCCGCAGGGGGGAACGAACAACUUCAGAAGUGCUGCAUUAAGAGCUGUAACUGUCACCGCAAAGGCCUGCAGCUUCACUUCUGAGCUAGUGUAGACCACGAACCCACCAGAAUGAAAAAACUCUGAACACAUCUGAACAUCAGAAGGAACAAACUCUGGACACGCUGCCUUUAAGAACUGUAACGCUCACCGCGAGGGUCCGUGGCUUCAUUCUUGCGGUCAGUGAGAUGAAGAACCCGCUAAUUCCGGACACAAUAUGAUACGGAGGUGGUUAAAUUACGUGGCCCAAUCAAGGGUGGGUCAGCCGAACUGCAGUGAGGACUUGGGUCAGCUUGGUGAAGUUCACGUUUGGGCUUUAUCCUCUCCCUGGAAUUUUGUGUCCCCCAGGCAAUUUCUGUUGCCUGUGUUUUUGAGUGAAAGACAAUCUUUGAAGCUGGACAACGUGGCUCACACCUAUAAUCCCAGUACUUUAGGAGGCCAAGGUAGGAAAAUCGCUUGAGCUGAAGAGUCGGAGACCAGCCAGGACAACAUGGCAAGACCCCAUUUCUGCAAAAAAUUUAAAAAUUAGCUGGGUGUGGUGACGUGCUCCUAUAGUCUCAGCUACUUGGGAGGCUGAGACAGGAGGAUUGCUUGAGUGUGGG
rnacentral:lncRNA from 1 species